rnacentral:rRNA from 1 species
UACGUAGGGGGCUAGCGUUGUCCGGAAUCAUUGGGCGUAAAGAGCGUGUAGGCGGCCCGGUAAGUCCGCUGUGAAAGUCGGGGGCUCAACCCUCGAAUGCCGGUGGAUACUGUCGGGCUAGAGUCCGGAAGAGGCGAGUGGAAUUCCUGGUGUAGCGGUGGAAUGCGCAGAUAUCAGGAGGAACACCGAUGGCGAAGGCGGCGACCUGGGUAGAUACUGACGCUGAGGUGCGAAAGCGUGGGGAGCAAACAGG